UAAACUUGCCACUCAUAAGCUCCAAAACAUAAAUAAGCUCCAUAACAGUAGCUUUGAAUUGGCGAGACAACAUUAUGAAAUCUGGAUCUUGUUCCAGCUCUAGAUUAUAAAAAUGGAAGCAAAUAGUCUUCAAAGAUAAUGAAUUAUAUUUUAUCAAUGGUUGAUUCAUCAUGAAAGAAUUAUAAAAUUCUUUUUUUCCAGUUUAUCAUAAUGCUAAAAUGCCAUACUAUUAAGCUGAAAACAACAACAAAAUUCUUAAUUCAUUAAACUAUGUCAACUAUAUGGAUUACACCAUUGGGUACAGUCAAAAAACAAAUUCUUAGAGAAUUAUUCCCUGUGACAUCCCUUUUAACAACUUCUUCCAAUGUUCUUCAUGGUCCUCUACCCUCUUCCUCCAAAGAGACAAAAUACCAAGUAAUGGGUAUUCCCUGUGCAUGCACUCACACUCCUCUCCAUCCAUCACAGUGCACC
rnacentral:sRNA from 1 species